GUCAAAACUUAGAGAUCAAACAAACAGAAUGACGAUUUAUUGCUUAUUCUUAGAUCAAAUACAAAAUGACGGAUUAAAGCAUGAAUCGAAUCUAAUUUACAUACUAAGCCAAAAUCGUGAUGCAAUUAUUAUCAGAUUAACAAAAGGGACAGAUACCACGUACCUACCGGAAACAAUCGCAGUGUCGAUUCGAAUCUAAAGCUUAGGAAAACGUCAUUGAACACGAAGAAUGAGGAAGAGGAGUUCAACACUGGGCCUCUCUCUGUCUUAAUGUUGAGUGUCAAAAACAAUACUCAGACGAAGAUUGUGUUGAUGUAGAAAUCAAACGCCAUGGUUUCUUUUGGCUUUCAGCAGUUAUGAACCCAUGAAUCUGAAUAUUUGGACUUUGGCUGCUGUAAGUAAAAACCCUAGAUGACAUCAACCGCGUCGCCAGCCACCAUAGUAAAACUACACUUUCAAUUCUUGAUCUCCGUCACAACAAACAAAUGAGGCACCGAUGAUCUAAAACUCUCACAAGAACUAACAGACGCAAGAUUUAACACAAGAUCAAUAAUCGACUGAAAACAAAAAAACUAUGAUAACACAAGAUCAAUAAUCGACUGAAAACAAAAAAACUAU
rnacentral:lncRNA from 1 species